GUUUGUAACAAGCUGUUAACAAUUUGUAACAAGCUUGAUGGCAUUAUCAGACUUGCAUGUUACAAGGUUGUUCUAACAAGUCUGAUACAGUCAUGAUAUAACAAGAAUGUUACAAGGUUGACGACACAAGGUUGUAACAAUAUUGUUAUAUCAUGACUUUAUCGGACUUGUUGGAACCUUGCACAACAAGCCUGAUAAUAUCAACAAGAUCGUUACAAGUUGUUAACGGCUUGUUCCAUUGGGAC